rnacentral:rRNA from 1 species
UACGAAGGGGGCUAGCGUUGCUCGGAAUCACUGGGCGUAAAGGGUGCGUAGGCGGGUCUUUAAGUCAGGGGUGAAAUCCUGGAGCUCAACUCCAGAACUGCCUUUGAUACUGAGGAUCUUGAGUUCGGGAGAGGUGAGUGGAAUUCCCAGUGUAGCGGUGAAAUGCGUAGAUAUUGGGAGGAACACCAGUGGCGAAGGCGGCUCACUGGACCGGAACUGACGCUGAGGAGCGAAAGCGUGGGGAGCGAACAGG